UACGGGGGGGCAAGCGUUGUUCGGAAUUACUGGGCGUAAAGGGCGCGUAGGCGGCCUUCUAAGUCGGACGUGAAAUCCCUCGGCUCAACCGAGGAACUGCGUCCGAUACUGAAAGGCUUGAAUCCGGGAGAGGGAUGUAGAAUUCCAGGUGUAGCGGUGAAAUGCGUAGAUAUCAGGAGGAACACCGAUGGCGAAGGCAGGUCUCUGGGCAUUAACUGACGCUGAGGAGCGAAAGCAUGGGGAGCGAACAGG
rnacentral:rRNA from 1 species